CCAGGGUGAAGGUUGGGUAAAACCAACUGGAGGCCCGAACCCACUACUGUUGCAAAAGUAGGGGAUGAGUUGUGGAUAGGGGUGAAAGGCCAAACAAAUCCGGAGAUAGCUGGUUCUCCCCGAAAACUAUUGAGGUAGUGCCUUGUAAAGUGAUUACCUGGGGUAGAGCACUGUAAUGGUUGUGGGGGUCAUUGCGACUUACUUCGCCAUAGCAAACUCCGAAUACAGGUAAUUUGAUUACAGGAGACAGUCCUAGGGUGCUAACGUUCUAGGACAAGAGGGAAACAACCCAGACCGCCAGCUAAGGUCCCAAAGUAAGGUUAAGUGUGAAACGAAGUGGGAAGGCGAAGACAGCCAGGAGGUUGGCUUAGAAGCAGCCAUCCUUUGAAGAAAGCGUAAUAGCUCACUGGUCGAGUCGUCCUGCGCGGAAGAUGUAAGGGGGCUCAAACCGUACACCGAAGCUGCGGGUGUGUAAGAGAGAUUUUACACGCGGUAGGGGAGCGUUCUGUAGGCUGAAGAAGGUGUGUCGAGAGGCAUGCUGGAGGUAUCAGAAGUGCGAAUGCUGACAUGAGUAGCGAUAAAGGGGGUGAGAAGCCUCCUCGCCGAAAACCCAAGGUUUCCUGCGCAACGUUAAUCGACGCAGGGUGAGUCGGUCCCUAAGGCGAGGCUGAGAAGCGUAGUCGAUGGGAAACGGGUUAAUAUUCCCGUACCGGAGUUAACUGUGAAGUGGGGACGGAGAAAGCUAGGCCAUCCGGGUGUUGGAAGUCCCGGUUUAAGCAAGAAGGCUAACUGGUCAGGGAAAACCGGCCGGAGGUGCUGAGAUGUGAAUACGAGCUACUGAGAGGUAGUGAAGUGGUUGAUGCUAUGCUUCCAGGAAAAGCCACUAAACGUAGGUUAAUUUCGACCGUACCGCAAACCGACACAGGUGGGUGGGAAGAGAAUUCUAAGGCGCUUGAGAGAACUCAGGAGAAGGAACUAGGCAAAAUGACACCGUAACUUCGGGAGAAGGUGUACCUCAAUAAGGUGAAGGUUGAACAACUGGAGCCGUAAGAGGUUGAAAAAACCAGGUGGCUGCGACUGUUUAAUAAAAACAUAGCACUCUGCAAACACGAAAGUGGAAGUAUAGGGUGUGACGCCUGCCCGGUGCCGGAAGGUUAAAUGAGGAGGUGAGAGCUUCUGAUUGAAGCCCCGGUAAACGGCGGCCGUAACUAUAACGGUCCUAAGGUAGCGAAAUUCCUUGUCGGGUAAGUUCCGACCUGCACGAAUGGCGUAACGAUGGCCGCACUGUCUCCUUCUGAGACUCAGCGAAAUUGAAAUGGUUGUGAAGAUGCAAUCUACCUGCGGCUAGACGGAAAGACCCCAUGAACCUUUACUGUAGCUUUGUACUGGGCUUUGAUCAGAUCUGUGUAGGAUAGGUGGGAGGCGAAGAAGGGAUCACGCUAGUGAUUCUGGAGCCGACGUUGAAAUACCACUCUGAUGUGUUUGAGGUUCUAACCUAGGUCACGAGACGUGGCUGGGGACAGUGCAUGGUGGGCAGUUUGACUGGGGCGGUCUCCUCCUAAAGGGUAACGGAGGAGUGCGAAGGUACGCUUGGCACGGUCGGAAAUCGUGCCUAAAGUGCAAGGGCGGAAGCGUGCUUAACUGCGAGACGUACAUGUCGAGCAGAUGCGAAAGCAGGUCCUAGUGAUCCGGUGGUACUGA
rnacentral:rRNA from 2 species